AGUGAACGCUGGCGGCAGGCCUAACACAUGCAAGUCGAACGGCAGCACAGGAGAGCUUGCUCUCUGGGUGGCGAGUGGCGGACGGGUGAGGAAUACAUCGGAAUCUACCUUUUCGUGGGGGAUAACGUAGGGAAACUUACGCUAAUACCGCAUACGACCUUAGGGUGAAAGCGGAGGACCUUCGGGCUUCACGCGGAUAGAUGAGCCGAUGUCGGAUUAGCUAGUUGGCGGGGUAAAGGCCCACCAAGGCGACGAUCCGUAGCUGGUCUGAGAGGAAGAUCCACCAGACUGGAACGGAGAAACGAUCAAGACUCCAACGGGAGGCAGCAGUGGGGAAUAUUGGACAAUGGGCGCAAGCCUGAUCCAGCCAUGCCGCGUGGGUGAAGAAGGCCUUCGGGUUGUAAAGCCCUUUUGUUGGGAAAGAAAAGCAGUCGGUUAAUACCCGAUUGUUCUGACGGUACCCAAAGAAUAAGCACCGGCUAACUUCGUGCCAGCCGCCGCCGUAA
rnacentral:rRNA from 1 species